rnacentral:rRNA from 1 species
GGGCCCGCACAAGCGGUGGAGCAUGUGGUUUAAUUCGAUGCAACGCGAAGAACCUUACCUACCCUUGACAUCAUCAGAACUUGUCAGAGAUGACUCGGUGCCUUCGGGAACUGAUUGACAGGUGCUGCAUGGCUGUCGUCAGCUCGUGUCGUGAGAUGUUGGGUUAAGUCCCGUAACGAGCGCAACCCCUGUCCUUAGUUGCCAGCGCGUAAUGGCGGGGACUCUAGGGGAGACUGCCGGUGACAAACCGGAGGAAGGUGGGAUGACGUCAAGUCAUCAUGGCCCUUAUGGGUAGGCUACACACGUGCUACAAUGGGCGGUACAGAGGGCUGCAAACUCGCGAGAGUAAGCUAAUCUCAGAAAACCGUUCGUAGUCCGGAUUGGAGUCUGCAACUCGACUCCAUGAAGUCGGAAUCGCUAGUAA